AUUGAACGCUGGCGGAAUGCUUUACACAUGCAAGUCGAACGGCAGCACGGGGGCAACCCUGGUGGCGAGUGGCGAACGGGUGAGUAAUACAUCGGAACGUGCCCAGUCGUGGGGGAUAACGUAGCGAAAGUUACGCUAAUACCGCAUACGAUCUACGGAUGAAAGCGGGGGACCGUAAGGCCUCGCGCGAUUGGAGCGGCCGAUGUCAGAUUAGGUAGUUGGUGGGGUAAAGGGUCACCAAGCCGACGAUCUGUAGCUGGUCUGAGAGGACGACCAGCCACACUGGGACUGAGACACGGCCCAGACUCCUACGGGAGGCAGCAGUGGGGAAUUUUGGACAAUGGGCGCAAGCCUGAUCCAGCCAUUCCGCGUGCAGGACGAAGGCCUUCGGGUUGUAAACUGCUUUUGUACGGAACGAAAAGGCUCUGGUUAAUACCUGGGGCUCAUGACGGUACCGUAAGAAUAAGCACCGGCUAACUACGUGCCAGCAGCCGCAGUAA
rnacentral:rRNA from 1 species